GUAUUCAAAAAUAGAAUGAUGAGACCACUUUUUCUCAUUCCGAUUUUGGUUCCCAAAGUGGAAACAUCUUUGAGUCUUCCGUUGUGUAUUCUAAAUCGUUAACGAUUUGGUUAAAUUUACUUUCAUUCACUUAAAUCGCGAGCUAAAUAAAAAUUAUAAAUAAAAAUAAAUAAAUAUGGGAUUUCCAACUGUUUCUCGUUUUUGUUGCUGUUGCGAUUUAAGAACUGGUGGAUUAAUAGUUGGUUGGAUAGGGGUAGUAUCUUCUAUCCUUUAUAUUCUUCAAAGCCUAAUAACUGGAAAUGUAUAUGGAAUUGGAAUGGUAAUUCAAUUGGUUCUCUGUGCUUGUUGGAUUUAUGGAAUUAAGGAGAAUCAACCAGGUUAUUUGUUAAUAUCUGUCAUAUUGGAUGGAAUCGGGCUCAUUAUUUUGUACAUUGGUGUGGCUUUCAUGAUUCCGGCACUAUUUGUUAUUUUUACUUCUUCUGACAAAUCUUCAGAAGCGUCUACUAUAAAAGUUAUUUUUGUGAUUACUUUUAUUGGUUUAUGCAUCUUCUCAGCCGUUCUCACCUAUUUUUGGAUUGUGAUGUAUUCCGUCUACAAACACAUUAAAGAUACCGCCUCUGGAUCGAUGGCUCCCAAAUACGUCACAUCUGGUCCUGUAGUAAUGUCGCCAGCUUGAGUACAAAAGAUUUGAUUUGAAUAUUUCAUGAAAGUUUACUCCAAUGAAAAUUACAAUUAAACUUUCAUAUCAAAUUAUAACCAAAAUUGCCAUUCAAAUUCAUUAAAAUUGAAUAAAUCUAUACUGCAUAGAGAUUUGGCUAAAUCAACAUAUUUGAUUCUUUUUCUUCAUAAAACCUUAAGGUCCAAUCUUUUGAAAAAAAAAAUCGAUUUAAUAAUUUGAAACAGGCGCCAAUAAAUUUGAAUAAAUGUGUGCGUAUAUUUUUUCGUUCUAUUUUGUGCGAACUUUCUUCCAAUCUGUGUAUACUGUGUAUGUGUGUGUAUACUUUUCAGUAUAUAAUACGUCUUAUUAACUGAAGCACAUAAGAUAUUUAUGUCGUAUAUAUUAUAUAAGAACGAAACGCUUUUUUGGAAAUUCCUACUGUGACGCCAUACUGCACAUCUGAAAAUAGUCAAAUAUAAAUUUUCAGUGACGCUUAUAAUCAAAUACAUCAAAAUAAUAAUAUAUAUAAUUUAAUAUUUCGUUACCAAAAACAUUUACACAUUUAGCUGUAUAGUGGACAGAUUCUCCUAAUCUCUUCUACCACUAUACACAAAGACAAAAAAUAACAACAAUUGUUUGGACCGAUAUGUGUACAGUGACAGCGUAUAUAACACACGAAUGAUCUAUUCGACAAUGAAUAUCGCUCGCAAGUAACCAUGCCGUUUAUUUCUUUCCAUUCAUCUAUUUUGACACAUAUUCGCAUAAGUCUGUAUUUUAGGCAUUUGGAUGUUCUAUUUCGUUGUAUUCAAAAAUAAAAUAAUCAGACAAAGUGAUCAUUCGGGUUUUAUUUCUCAAAGUGGAAACAUCUUUGAGUCUUCCAUUGUGUAUUCUAAAUCGUUAACGAUUUGGUUAAAUUUAAUGUCAUUCACUUAAAUCGCGAGCUAAAUAAAAAUUAUAAUAAAUAAAUAUGGGAUUUCCAACUGUUUCUCGUUUUUGUUGCUGUGGCGAUUUAAGAACUGGUGGAUUAAUAGUUGGUUGGAUAGGGGUAGUAUCUUCUAUCCUUUAUAUUCUUCAAAGCUUAAUAACUGGAAAUGUAUAUGGAAAUGGAAUGGUAAUUCAAUUGGUUCUCAGUGCUUGUUGCAUUUAUGGAAUUAAGGAGAAUCAACCAAGUUAUUUGUUAAUAUCUGUCAUAUUGAAUGGAAUCGGGCUCAUUAUUUUGUACAUUGGUGUGGCUUUCAUGAUUCCGGCACUAUUUGUUAUUUUUACUUCUUCUGACAAAUCUUCAGAAGCGUCUGCUAUAAAAGUUAUUUUGGUGAUUACUUUUAUUGGUUUAUGCAUCUACUCAGCCGUUGUCACCUAUUUUUGGAUUGUGAUGUAUUCCGUCUACAAACACAUUAAAGACACCACCUCUGGAUCGACGUCUCCCAAAUACACCACCUCUGGCUAUAUAGCUACGUCACCAGCUUGAUUACAAAAGAUUUGUUUUGAGUAAUUACUGAAAGUUUAUUCCAAUGAAAAUUACAAUUAAUCUUUCAUAUCAAUAACCAAAAGGGCAAUUUAAAUUCAUUAAAAUUGAAUAAAUGUAUACUGCAUAGAGAUUUGACUUAAUCAAAA